rnacentral:rRNA from 1 species
UGGGGGAUAUUGCGCAAUGGGCGAAAGCCUGACGCAGCGACGCCGCGUGGGUGAUGAAGGCCUUCGGGUCGUAAAGCCCUGUCGAGGGGGAAGAAUCGGUUGCGACCUAACACGUCGUGAUCCUGACGGUACCCCUAAAGGAAGCCCCGGCUAACUCCGUUCCAGCCGCCGCGGUAAUACGGAGGGCGCGAGCGUUGUUCGGAAUCACUGGGCGUAAAGCGCGUGUAGGCGGCCCAUUAAGUCUGAUGUGAAAGCCCGGGGCUCACCCCCGGAAGUGCAUUGGAAACUGAUGGGCUGGAGUCCCGGAGAGGAGGGUGGAAUUCCUGGUGUAGCGGUGAAAUGCGUAGAUAUCAGGAGGAACACCGGUGGCGAAGGCGGCCCUCUGGACGGUGACUGACGCUGAGACGCGAAAGCGUGGGGAGCAA